UACAGAGGGGGCAAGCGUUGUUCGGAAUUACUGGGCGUAAAGGGCGCGUAGGCGGCCUUCUAAGUCGAAACGUGAAAUCCCCGGGCUCAACCCGGGAACUGCGUCCGAUACUGGAAGGCUUGAAUCCGGGAGAGGGAUGCGGAAUUCCAGGUGUAGCGGUGAAAUGCGUAGAUAUCAGGAGGAACACCCAUGGCGAAGGCAGCAUACUGGCCGGCAUCUGACGCUGAGGCGCGAAAGCGUGGGUAGCAAACAGG
rnacentral:rRNA from 1 species